UUUCCAGACACCUUCCAAGCUCAGAUCCUGCCUCCAGUCUGCCUCUCAGGAUGACUGCUUGAUUAAUGAGCUUCUGUUCAUAAAGCUUUCUGAUGAGGAAUAUGCACCAUGGCUAUGUUUCUAGAGCAACUAUUAUAUACAAGAGGUACUGGUAGGACUCAUGAGUCUGCUACAGGUGGCUGCACAGAAGACUCAGCCUUGACUCUAGGAGUUUCUUUAGAGCCCUCUGGUGACAGACAGGAAAUAUACAAGAAAGUUUCCAGGGGUAUUGACACAUCACAUCAACAAGAUACUGCCCAAUGACUCAAGAACAGAAAAGGUAU